UACGAAGGGGGCUAGCGUUGCUCGGAAUUACUGGGCGUAAAGGGCGCGUAGGCGGAUAUUUAAGUCGGGUGUGAAAGCCCCGGGCUCAACCUGGGAAUUGCAUUCGAGACUGAAUAGCUAGGGUACGGUAGAGGGAAGUGGAAUUUCCGGUGUAGCGGUGAAAUGCGUAGAUAUCGGAAGGAACAUCAGUGGCGAAAGCGACUUCCUGGACCAGUACCGACGUUCAGGCACGAAAGCGUGGGGAGCAAACAGG
rnacentral:rRNA from 1 species